rnacentral:rRNA from 1 species
AGAGUUUGAUCAUGGCUCAGGACGAACGCUGGCGGCGUGCUUAACACAUGCAAGUCGAGCGGAAAGGCUUCCUUCGGGAAGUACUCGAGCGGCGAACGGGUGAGUAACACGUGGAUAAUCAACCUCUUGCUCUGGAAUACCCCGGGGAAACUCGGAUCAAUGCCAGAUAAAGUGCGGUGCUGCAGGGUGCCGUACCAAAGAUAGCUUCGGCCUUCGGCGAGAGACGAGUCCGCGGCCCAUUAGCUAGUUGGCGGGGUAAUGGCCCACCAAGGCUACGAUGGGUAGCUGGUCUGAGAGGAUGAUCAGCCACACUGGGACUGAGACACGGCCCAGACUCCUACGGGAGGCAGCAGUGGGGAAUCUUGCGCAAUGGGCGAAAGCCUGACGCAGCAACGCCGCGUGCGGGAGGAAGGCCUUCGGGUUGUAAACCGCUUUCAGGGGAGACGAAGCUUCCAGGGUGAAUAGCUCUGCGGAGUGACGGUAUCUUCAGAAGAAGUCCCGGCUAACUACGUGCCAGCAGCCGCGGUGAUACGUAGGGGACAAGCGUUGUCCGGAAUUAUUGGGCGUAAAGCGCGUGUAGGCGGCCAAGUAAGUCUUACGUGAAAUCCUGAGGCUCAACCUCAGGCCUGCGCGGGAUACUGCUUGGCUAGAGUCCGGAAGAGGAGAGUGGAAUUCCUGGUGUAGCGGUGGAAUGCGCAGAUAUCAGGAGGAACAUCCGUGGCGAAGGCGGCUCUCUGGGACGGUACUGACGCUGAGACGCGAAAGCGUGGGGAGCGAACAGGAUUAGAUACCCUAGUAGUCC